rnacentral:rRNA from 1 species
AUUGAACGCUGGCGGAAUGCUUAACACAUGCAAGUCGAACGGCAGCACGGUGGCAGCCCUGGUUGCGGGUGGCGAACGGGUGAGUAAUACAUCGGAACGUCCCCGGCCGCGGGGGAUAACGUAGCGACAGAUACGCAAAUACCCCAUACGAUCUGAGGAUGAAAGCGGGGGACCUUCGGGUCUCGCGCGAUCGGAGCGUCCGAUGUCAGAUUAGGUAGUUGGUGGGGUAAAGGCCUACCAAGCCGACGAUCUGUAGCUGGUCUGAGAGGAAGACCAGCCACACUGGGACUGAGACACGGCCCAGACUCCUACGGGAGGCAGCAGUGGGGAAUUUUGGGCAAUGGGCGGAAGCCUGAUCCAGCCAUUCCGCGUGGAGGACGAAGGCCUUCGGGUUGUAAAAUGCUUUUUUACGGAAAGAAAAGGCUCUGGCUAAUACCUGGGGCUCAUGACGGUACCGUAAGAAUAAGCACCGGCUAACUACGUG